rnacentral:rRNA from 1 species
AUGAAGGAGGAAUUCGAUCUACUGGCCAACCGCACUUGGACCCUUGUACCUCGCCCUCGUGGUACCAACAUCGUCACCGGCAAGUGGGUUUUCCGUCAGAAGCUCAAACCCAAUGGUUCUCUCGAUCGCUACAAGGCUCGUUGGGUUGUCCGUGGAUUCACUCAGUGCGUCGGUGUUGACUUUGGAGAGACAUUCAGCCCCGUUGUGAAGCCUGCUAUUGUCCGCACUUUACUCCAUCUUGCCGCCUCUCGUCAUUGGCCAGUCCAUCAGUUAGAUGUCUCCAAUGCUUUUCUUCAUGGUGAGCUACAGGAACGAGUUUAUUGUGCUCAGCCUACAGGUUUUGUCGACACGGAUCACCCGGAGCAUGUGUGCUUAUUGUCUAAGUCUCUCUAUGGACUUAAACAGGCUCCCCGUGCCUGGUAUACCCAGUUUUAA